rnacentral:rRNA from 1 species
ACGGAGGGUGCAAGCGUUGUCCGGAUUUACUGGGUUUAAAGGGUCCGUAGGCGGGUCUUUAAGUCAGUGGUGAAAUCCUGCAGCUUAACUGUAGAACUGCCAUUGAUACUGAAGAUCUUGAGUAUAGUUGAGGUAGGCGGAAUUUAUGAUGUAGCGGUGAAAUGCAUAGAUAUCAUAAAGAACACCAAUUGCGAAGGCAGCUUACUAAACUAUUACUGACGCUCAGGGACGAAAGCGUGGGGAGCGAACAGG